AGGGAUUUCAGCCAUGACCAGGAACAUCCCUCAAACAGCCUGAAAUACCUGAUAAAGCACAAAGCUGCCACCAUCUGGUGGAAGAUCCUUGUUCCCGCUCCACUCUCCAAUGAAGAGAUGUUGGAGCAGCUCGCUUGUGACCCUGUUGUUGGUUUCUUGAAAGAAGGGUCCAGCAACUAUCCACCAUCUGGCUAACCAUUGGAUUACUUAUUUGAGAGGCUUCCAGUUAAAAGUGAUUUCGGAGUUGGUCUUCAAGCCUCCAGCAAUCUCAGCCAUCGAAUCUGCCCACCCCACCUGCAAUUCCCAGUUGAUUCUCCUCUGAGCUCACACUGGAUUUAGGACAUUAUAAUCUCUUGAACUAUCUUUAAGUGAUUAAUACGCUUGUCUGCCUGCCCACCUGGACUGAAAGCCUAGGAAAUAACAUAGAGCUACUUGGGUGUAUAUCCCUAGUGUCCAGCACAGCCUCUGGCACGUGGAAAGGGCUGAAAUAUUUUUCAUAAAUGGAACUAUUAAUGGCAAGAGUCUUUUCUCCCAACAAAAUCCUAAAUUACAAUGCAAUUUAUGCAAUGCGUGUCUGUCCGCUCAGUUGUCUGCUCCUGACCUUCAGAAAUGAUUUACACAGUGGGGGUGAAGUGAAAGCAUGGAGAGGCUCGCAAUUGCAAAGGUCUAUUCAGCUCACCCUCAAGGUAACUUUCAACUACCCCGGCGGAGGAGGCUCUUGAAAACGGAAGUGGUCUCCUCCGCCCUCUAGUGGUGGCUACGUUGCAGAACAGUUUUAAAGACGACCUUUGGGAAUUAAUACACUCUUGUCAAAGUUCUUUGGAAGACUACUGGAAUGCCAGUGUGUGUAUGAGCUGAUUAUUUCAGCUUUUUGUUGCUGUUUUAUAGAGAACAUUUGGAGUCCUUUGGUCAAGAGUCUGUAGUCAGAAUCGGCAGGAACAUCUCCCCAGAAGGUGGUUUGUGUGUCGAAGAACAGAGUCCUCACCACUCUAAUUCUUGGGGGGUGGUGGGGGUGGGUCCUGGCAGCAUCCCACAGGCCACUUGAAAUGUUUUCUUUCAUUCCCUAGA